GACGAACGCUGGCGGCGUGCUUAACACAUGCAAGUCGAACGGAAAGGCCCUGCGUUUGUUGGUUGCUCGAUUGGCGAACGGGUGAGUAACACGUGAGUAACCUGCCCUUGUCUUUGGGAGAACUUCAGGAGACUCGGGCUCAUACACGGUAGGAUCUCCUGCUGCAUGUUGGGGGUUGGAAAGUGUCGGCGGUGGUGGAUGGACUCGCUGCUUAUCAGCUGGUUUGUGGGGUAGUUGCGUACCAAGGCUUUGACGGGUAGCCGGCCUGGGAGAGUGAACGGCCACCUUAGGCCUGAGAUACGGCGCAGACUGCUACGGGCGGCAGCAGUGGGGAAUAUUGCACAGUGGGCGGAAGCCUGAUACAGAGACGCCGCGUGCGGGAUGACCGCCUUCGGGUUGUAAACCGCUUUCGCCGGUGACGAAGCGUGAGUGACGGUACUGGAUAAAGAAGCACCGGCUAACUACGUG
rnacentral:rRNA from 1 species